rnacentral:rRNA from 1 species
GACGAACGCUGGCGGCGUGCUUAACACAUGCAAGUCGAACGAUGAAGCCGGAGCUUGCUCUGGUGAAUUAGUGGCGAACGGGUGAGUAACACGUGAGUAACCUGCCCUUGACUCUGGGAUAACUGCGGGAAACCGCAGCUAAUACCGAAUACGACCACCUCCGGCAUCGGAUGGUGGUGGAAAGUUCCGGCGGUGAUGGAUGAGCUCGCGGCCUAUCAGCUUGUCGGUGGGGUAAUGGCCUACCAAGGCAACGACGGGUAGCCGGCCUGAGAGGGUGACCGGCCACACUGGGACUGAGACACGGCCCAGACUCCUACGGGAGGCAGCAGUGGGGAAUAUUGGACAAUGGGCGAAAGCCUGAUCCAGCAACGCCGCGUGAGGGAUGACGGCCUUCGGGUUGUAAACCUCUUUCAGCAGGGACGAAGCGCAAGUGACGGUACCUGCAGAAGAAGCACCGGCCAACUACGUGCCAGCCGCCGCGGUAA